AACGAACGCUGGCGGCAUGCCUAACACAUGCAAGUCGAACGAGACCUUCGGGUCUAGUGGCGCACGGGUGCGUAACGCGUGGGAACCUGCCCUUAGGUUCGGAAUAACUCCCCGAAAGGGGUGCUAAUACCGGAUAAGGUCUUCGGACCAAAGAUUUAUCGCCUUUGGAUGGGCCCGCGUUGGAUUAGCUAGUUGGUAGGGUAAAAGCCUACCAAGGCGACGAUCCUUAGCUGGUCUGAGAGGAUGAUUAGCCACACUGGGACUGAGACACGGCCCAGACUCCUACGCGAAGGAGCAGUGGGGAAUAUUGGACAAUGGGGGAAAGCCUGAUCCAGCCAUGCCGCGUGAGUGAUGAAGGCCUUAGGGUUGUAAAGCUCUUUUACCCGGGAUGAUAAUGACGGUACCGGGAGAAUAAGCUCCGGCUAACUACGUG
rnacentral:rRNA from 1 species